rnacentral:rRNA from 1 species
GGAAUCUUCCACAAUGGACGAAAGUCUGAUGGAGCAACGCCGCGUGAGUGAAGAAGGGUUUCGGCUCGUAAAACUCUGUUGUUAGAGAAGAACAAGGGUGAGAGUAACUGUUCACCCCUUGACGGUAUCUAACCAGAAAGCCACGGCUAACUACGUGCCAGCAGCCGCGGUAAUACGUAGGUGGCAAGCGUUGUCCGGAUUUAUUGGGCGUAAAGCGAGCGCAGGCGGUUUUUUAAGUCUGAUGUGAAAGCCUUCGGCUCAACCGAAGAAGUGCAUCGGAAACUGGGAAACUUGAGUGCAGAAGAGGACAGUGGAACUCCAUGUGUAGCGGUGAAAUGCGUAGAUAUAUGGAAGAACACCAGUGGCGAAGGCGGCUGUCUGGUCUGUAACUGACGCUGAGGCUCGAAAGUAUGGGUAGCAAACA